AACGAACGCUGGCGGCAGGCCUAACACAUGCAAGUCGAACGUGAAGCCACCUUCGGGUGGUGGAAAGUGGCAGACGGGUGAGUAACGCGUGGGAACGUGCCUUUCGGUUCGGGAUAACCCAGGGAAACUUGGGCUAAUACCGGAUACGCCCUUCGGGGGAAAGAUUCAUUGCCGAAAGAUCGGGCCGCGUCGGAUUAGCUAGUUGGUGGGGGAAAAGCCUACCAAGGCGACGAUCCGUAGCUGGUCUGAGAGGAUGACCAGCCACACUGGGACUGAGACACGGCCCAGACUCCUACGGGAGGCAGCAGUGGGGAAUAUUGGACAAUGGGCGCAAGCCUGAUCCAGCCAUGCCGCGUGGGUGAAGAAGGCCCUAGGGUUGUAAACCCCUUUCAGCGGGGAAGAUAAUGACGGUACCCGCAGAAGAAGCCCCGGCUAACUCCGUGCCAGCCGCCGCGGUAACAC
rnacentral:rRNA from 1 species